rnacentral:rRNA from 1 species
AACGAACGCUGGCGGCAGGCCUAACACAUGCAAGUCGAACGCCCCGCAAGGGGAGUGGCAGACGGGUGAGUAACACGUGGGAACCUUCCCUAUAGUACGGAAUAGCCCAGGGAAACUUGGAGUAAUACCGUAUACGCCCGAAAGGGGAAAGAAUUUCGCUAUAGGAUGGGCCCGCGUAGGAUUAGCUAGUUGGUGAGGUAACGGCUCACCAAGGCGACGAUCCUUAGCUGGUUUGAGAGAACGACCAGCCACACUGGGACUGAGACACGGCCCAGACUCCUACGGGAGGCAGCAGUGGGGAAUAUUGGACAAUGGGCGCAAGCCUGAUCCAGCCAUGCCGCGUGAGUGAUGAAGGCCUUAGGGGUUGUAAAGGCUCUUUUGCCGGGGACGAUAAUGACGGUACCCGGAGAAUAAGUCCCGGCUAACUUCGUG